UUCGGAAACUCCAUCAUCGAAAACGGCUCAGGAGUACGAAGGCCUCUGUGCUCUUGAGAGCACAGCAGCCCUACUCUAUAUAUAUAUAGAGUCCGGCUGCUAUGCUAUCAGUAGCACGGAACGCUCCGUGCUACCAAGUUGUUUUCGAUGAUGCGGCUUCCAAAUUGACGAUCGGCUCCGUUAGACUUGAUCUACAGUAUUGAAAGUAUUUGAAAACUAAAUUUCAGAUUUUUUCGACAUCAUUUGACUAGUGAUCAAAAGAUCUCAAAAUUGAUAAUUUUAAUGGCCGAUGUGGUGUGUUUGUGAGUUUAACAGUGUAAAAUAAUCCAAAUGCGAUGAAAAUUUUAUAAAAAAUUCUUUUCACUAUUUAUAGUAAGAUCAGUAUAUCUGAUCUUGAAUUUAAAUCUUUUAUCAUCAUUUUUAAUGAGAUUUUUAUUUUCAGCCGUUCAAUUUUAGACUACUUGUUU
rnacentral:lncRNA from 1 species